AUUGAACGCUAGCGGGAUGCCUUACACAUGCAAGUCGAACGGCAGCGCAGGAGAGCUUGCUUUCCUGGCGGCGAGUGGCGAACGGGUGAGUAAAGUAUCGGAACGUACCCAGCAGCGGGGGAUAACUGGCCGAAAGGUCAGCUAAUACCGCAUAAUCUCUACGGAGCAAAGAGGGGGAUCCAUAAGGACCUUUCACUGCUGGAGCGGCCGAUAUCGGAUUAGCUGGUUGGUGGGGUAAAGGCCUACCAAGGCAUUGAUCCGUAGCUGGUUUGAGAGGACGACCAGCCACAUUGGGACUGAGACACGGCCCAA
rnacentral:rRNA from 1 species